UUCUCCACCUUCAUUGGAGCAACAUCUGAUUUCCUUCAACAAAAAUCUAAAAAAGUAAAUAUUUGGCUUUAGAUGAUUUUCUCUAAAUGUUUGUUUUUAUCCUCUUUAUUUCUGCGUUUUUCGGUCUAAAGGUUUCACUGUUUUAACAGCAGGAGAAUCUCAUUGGUUCCCUUCCUCAACAUUAUCCAACAAAAUCCAACAUCCUCUGCAGCAGGGAGCUGAGAGACACAAAUACGAAGCUGGGAUGGCGAAGAAUCCCACCAGGAGGAGCAGCUAGAGACCAGCAGAAAAUGGUUUUUAUUUGGUUUGUUUUUGCUUUAGUUUACUCAAUUUAAUUAUUUUAUUCAAAUAAAUUGUUUAAUAAAUCCGUGAUUUAUGUUUUCUUUUAUCAUCUGCUGUAGAUUGAUGUCAAUUUUAU